AGUGAACGCUGGCGGUAGGCCUAACACAUGCAAGUCGAACGGCAGCACAGGAGAGCUUGCUCUCUGGGUGGCGAGUGGCGGACGGGUGAGGAAUACAUCGGAAUCUACUUUUUCGUGGGGGAUAACGUAGGGAAACUUACGCUAAUACCGCAUACGACCUACGGGUGAAAGCAGGGGACCUACGGGCCUUGCGCGAUUGAAUGAGCCGAUGUCGGAUUAGCUAGUUGGCGGGGUAAAGGCCCACCAAGGCGACGAUCCGCAGCUGGUCUGAGAGGAUGAUCAGCCACACUGGAACUGAGACACGGUCCAGACUCCUACGGGAGGCAGCAGUGGGGAAUAUUGGACAAUGGGCGCAAGCCUGAUCCAGCCAUACCGCGUGGGUGAAGAAGGCCUUCGGGUUGUAAAGCCCUUUUGUUGGGAAAGAAAUCCAGCUGGCUAAUACCCGGUUGGGAUGACGGUACCCAAAGAAUAAGCACCGGCUAACUUCGUGCCAGCAGCCGCCGUAA
rnacentral:rRNA from 1 species